GUCGCAAGGGGCGGGCCUGACGCAGCCUCCUCCCUGCCCGGCCGUCGCCAGGCAACCUUCCCCCUUCGCGGCCGAGAUGGACCCUGGGCUCGGCGUCCUCCGGAAAACUGCACUGUGAGGCGGGGCGAUGGGGAAGGGCCGAAGCCCCGCCAGCCCAGCUAAAGCAGACGGCUCGCACUGCGACCCGAAGCGCGAGUCAUGGCUGGGGCCUUAGUGGCAACAAGUGCUGAGAUCAGCGGGCUCAGUAGCAGGAACACAAGCACCCCCUUGCGGUGUCUGGAGGAAGCGGCGCGGACAGUCUCCCGCUCCACCGUGUCGGGCCUGAAGAGGCCGCUGAACGCUCGCGAUUACUGAGGCAUCUGGUAGGAUCGCAAGGCCAUCAACCUACAGGUGAAGCUCGAGGCGCUGUGGCGCUUUGAAGCCGGAGAGAAGCUCAGUAGAAUCGGGAAGGCGCUGGGGCUGUCCAACUCCACCUUGGCCACCAUUCGUGACAACAAGGAAAAGAUCUGGGCGAGUUCCCAGGAGGCCACACUGCAGGCGGCCACCAAGUUGACGCGUGGCCGCAGCCUGGUGAUGGAGAACAUGGAGCAGCUGCUGAGCAUGCGGAUGGAGGACCAGAGCCAGCGCAACAUGCCCCUCAGUGUGGUGCUCAUUCGGGAGAAAGCCCACAGCCCGUUCGAGAACCGCAAGCAGGAGCAGGGCGAGGGCGCCUAGCCCGAGAGCUUCGGGGCCGGUCGAGGGUGAUUCGCUGGCUUUAAGGCGCGCCACAGCUUGAGCAGCAUCGGGGCCAGCGGCCCAAGAACGCAGCGUGCAAGAAUCCAGCGUUAAUGCGCAGGGUGAUCCCGGAGGGCGGCUACACACUCUGGCUGGUGUUCACCAUGAAUAAGCUCUGGCUGGUGUUCACCAUGAAUAAGCCCAGGUUCCUCUGUAAGCGCCUGCCGAGAGGACGUUCAUUUUCCUGUGGAAGAUGAGUCGGCCCCUGGGUCAAAGCCGCCGGAGACCUCCUGACCCUAUUGCUCGGUGGCAACGCAGCCGGCGACUUCAAGCUGAAGGCCCUGCUGGGGUACCCCUCGGAGAACCCGUGUUUCCUCAAGGGCUCCUUCAAGCCCAACCUGCCCUUGGUGUGGUGCUCGCACAAGAAAGCCUGGGUACAGCCUGGGUGACAGAGCGAGACUCCGUCUCAAAAAAAAAAAAAAAAGCCUGGGUAACCAUGAGCCUCUUCCAGGAGUGGUUCCUGCACUUCUGCUCUACAGUGGAGGGCGCUGCACCCAGUACGACCUUCCCUACAAGGGGCUGCCCAUCCUGGACAGCACUCCCGGCCACCCUGGGUGUUGAGACAGAGUCUGGCUCUGUCGCGCAGGCUGGAGUGCGGUGGCGCGAUCUCGGCUCACUGCAACCUCCGCCUCCCGGGUUCACGCCAUUCUCCUGCCUCAGCCUCCCAGGUAGCUGGGACUACAGGCGCCCGCCACCACGCCCGGCUAAUUUUUUUGUAUUUUUAGUAGAGACGGGGUUUCACCGUGUUAGCCAGAAUGGUCUCGGUCUCCUGACCCCAUGAUCCACCCGCCUUGGCGUCCCAAAGUGCUGGGAUUACAGGCGUGAGCCAUGGUGCCUGGCCCUUUAAUUCCCCCAAUAUUUUUUUAUCUGCAUUAAUUUAUUAUUUCAAGUGAACUUCCAUCUCAAAUACAUGGUUCUCAGACGCUUCCAUGAACUCUCAAGUGUGACUUAUUACAGCCUGGGGCUCCUUGGAGCACAGUGUGCCAGUGACCUAGUGGAAGGCCAUGAGAAAGCCAGGUUCACUGUUCACUGUGCAGCAUCUCCCUCCAUGGUCUUCCUGGAGCCUAUUCCCACUGCACUGAGCAUUCCGUGUGUCCAGAGGUAGGGUUAGCAGGGAUAGAUGGACUUCCUGCUUAUUUUCUGUUCACAUUUCCACUGACCUUCAAUCCUGUAGACUGCAAAGAUUGAGCCAGCUGAGCCCCCAAAGAGACUCAGCAGUGCAGAAUGUGGGCCUGAGUGGGAGGACUGCCCAGCCGCACACCUUCCAGCUCUGUUCUUCCCGGGCCCUGGAUGCUUCUUGCCACGCUGUCCUCUGAAAUGACGCUCUGCCCCAGCAGACCUGUGGUAGGUGAGCUAGUGAGGAAGCACACCUGGGCUCUUCCCACCAGGCAUCCCAGCCCUGGUGUGGGGUAUCCGCAUGGUUGCAGGCAUCCCCUGGCCAGGCCUGGGUGCUCAUUCUCCCUCUCUCUUCUUGUCUCCUCCCCUCUCCCUGCUUUCUCUGCCCUGUCCUCCUCCUUUUUGCUGUUUUCCCCCGGACUCCUGCCAUGCCCCCAGACUUUCUUUUUCCCACGGAUAUGGGCUCAUUCCAAGGAAAGGGUGGCAUUUGGACACAAGGCCCUAGAUCCCACGAUGGAGGACUGGGGGGUACCUGAUGCCCCUCAGAAAGAGGCCUGCAGGGACAGCACAUGGGAAAGCCCCAUGGCUUUGUGAUCCAUCUGGGGAUGUGAUCCAUUUGGGUAAGGACUUGGGUUUCAGGGCAUGAGUUGGCUUCCUUGCAGGAUGCAGGUCCUUAGGUGGGUGGCCUCUGUCUCCAGCUGUAGGGCCCUGCCAGGAAGCCUCUAUAUGAGCCUACCUCCCUCCUGCAGGACCAGAGAGGGGUUGUUAUGAACAGCCCAGGGGAUUGGUUGCACUAAGCUUGUCUUGAAGCUUUGGCUGGGGAGUCCAGGUGCCCAUGUCUCUCACCUGCUCCCCAUACACAUCUCUGCACACCUGGCUGAGGCAUUCCCAGACCUAACCUCAGAUAAUGUGCAUGUGAUGAACACUCCCAAGUGGCUAGGCCUCUUGCACCUGAGCAGGUGGAUUCUGCCCCAGCACUGGGGCUUUCUCUGGGCUGUCCAUCAUGGGUAUAUCUCUGGAUUCCAGGAUUGCUAGUUAGCACCUCACAUUUGAGGGUCUGUGCUAUUCAGUCUAGAAUCAGAGUUGGAUGAGAAAUCAACUUUGAACACCACCUUUGGGGUGGCUGCAUUGGCUCACACCUGUAAUCUCAGCACUUUAGGAGGCUGAGGCAGGAGGAUAGCUUGAGGCCAGGAGUUCGAGACUAACCGGAGCAACAUAGUAAGGCCACAUCUGUACAAAAAAAAGAAAGAAAAAAUUACCCAGGUUUGGUGGCAUGCACUUGUAGUCCCAGUUGUGGGCUGAGGAUUAUGCAGGUGACAAGGCAAGAGACUGAAGGCACAAACUGUUUCAGUAUAAUAAAGAAAAUAGAAUAAUAAUAGUCAUAAUUAUAUAUAGAGAUGAUCAUGAACAAUUAUCAAUCAUUAUAAUAAACAUUAUUAAUCAUUAGCUUU